CCCUGCAGCACCACUAUCCCCACUCAAAGGGCUUAGGCAGGAUCUAGUGAGAAUAGAUGAUUCUUUCCCUUGUCUGGUCUUUUUGUCAUUCCAUGAAAAGUUAGAUACAUCUACAGAAUUCCUGAUGCUAUAAACUAAUGGCUGACAAGAUCCUGGUGACACCGUUGGACCUGGAACUAUACCAAGCUUAAGGGACUGCAGAGCUUUUCCAGCACGUUGGAUCAUUGUGGACACCACUGCAUUAUUGACUUUAGGGACUACUGUUGUCAAGUCAAUAUUGGUAUAGCACAAGGGAUCCAUGGCACAUUUGUUGAACAUUGAACAAGUUGCUGCAGCAUAGCAUAAACUUUGUGUAUCAAGCAUAGAAAAUACCUUGAUGGUGAGAUCGGGAGGUAGAGCCCAGGUAAGCGAAUUGUGAUU
rnacentral:misc_RNA from 1 species